GUCCAUUUUGGGCCCAUCCAGGGAGGCUCUGUGAGGCUCAUCGUAGUUAUGACGGGAGCAGCCACAUUCCAGAACAUUCUGGAACGUCGCUUGCUGCCAUGCCUGGAAGAAAAUAAGAGCUUUGGAGGGUCUGGCACGCACAGUUAAAUGCUCUAGCCUGGGAAUGACGUGUCAGUUUCGCUCACAGCUCAUUGGUUACAGCUGGUCACAUGACCUCGUUCACACAAAGCAGGCAGGAAGUAAGUACAGUUAGUUCUACCUUGUGCCCAGAAAGGGGAGCGCAGGGAAUGAAUGCUCCGACAGCUAACAGGGUGCUGUGACAAUGAAGUGAGUCAGUGAGUGGAAACUCAUCUAGGGCAGCACCUGGCGCGAGUGCUGUUUUUGCAUCCCCAGUUUUGUGUUUUAACAGGAAGGGUGACCCCACUCAGGUGCCUCUUUGACACUGGUUGAGCAGGACCAAGAUGGAUCAGUGGCUGGAAGCCUGGAACAUAUGCGACAGGUGUGCGCCACGUGCGGGCCAGUCAUUGUUUAACCGUCUAGAACUCAAUGCAAAGAAGAACUGUCCAUGGCUGCAGCGGAACACAGAUCACAAAGCCCAUGCAGGCGCUGUGUGGCCCAGAGGUCUUGUCAACUCCAAGAAGGUGGGGGACCCAUUUGUUCUGCCUUGAGAAGCAUAAGGUCCGGCAUGCGGUGGAUGGUUAUUGUAUUUUUGUGAAGUUGAACUGAUGCUCGUGAUCCUUAUUUAUAGCCCAUGGACUUGUGGUUUUGACACAGUAGUAACAAGCUUUGUGAUGUCAAGUGCAGCCAAGGAAAUAGGCAAGGUGGACAUACCAGCACUCAUGGCAAAGGAUGGAAUGAAAUCCUGCCUCCUUCUCUACUUCCUAAUUGUACCUUGAUUCCCCCUUCUUUUAUUUUUUUACAUUUAUUUACUUAUUUAUUUUGAGACAGAGUCUCACUCUGUUGCCCAGACUAGAGUGAGUGCCGUGGCAUCAGCCUCGCUCACAGCAUCCUCAAACUCCUGGGCUCAAGUGAUCCUCCUGCCUCAGCCUCCCGAGUAGCUGGGACUACAGGCAUGCGCCACCAUGCCCGGCUAAUUUUUUCUGUAUAUUUUUAGCUGUCCAAGUAAUUUCUUUCUAUUUUUAGUAGAGAUAGGGUCUCGCUCUUGCUCAGGCUGGUCUCGAAUUCCUGAGCUCAAACGAUCCACCCGCCUCAGCCUCCCAGAGUACUAGGAUUACAGGCGUGAGCCACCGCGCCCGGCCUUACUUUUAUUUUUUUAGAGACAGAGUCUCAUUCUGUUGCCCAGCUGGAGUGCAGUGGUGCAGUGGUAGCUCACUACAGCCCUGAACUCCUGGGCUCAAGCGAUCCUCCUGCCUGAGUCUCCCGAAAGUAGCUGGGACUGCAGGCACGCACCACCAUGCCUGGCUUUGGUUCCCCCUUCUGUAAAAUGGGUUCUUCGGAGGUUUACAGAAAAUCAUGUCUGUCAAGGGUUUAGCAUGGUGCCUGGCACCUAGUAAAUGCUCAAUAAAACACUCACUUGAAUUUUUGAAGGGACUAACCAAAAAACUAUAAAAACAGACAUAAGAUCUCAAAACCCCACGGCAGCCUGAGGGCAACCUUGUGAGGUUCUAAGACCAUGGAACAAGACCAAAAUUUAUCUCGUUCACACAAAGGAGGGGCUGAGAUCCUGCUAUCUAUAGAAGGCCUGAACAAGGAUUUGAAAAACAAUCUAUAACAUUUAUAUACAGAAUAAGAUCCGAUAUUUAUCAGCCUCUGGGCAUUUGUACCUCCCAGAUAUCUGAUGAAGUAGACACUAUGAUUACCCCAUUUAGAGAUGAGGAAAAUGAAAGCUCAGAGAGGUUGAGAAAUUUGCCCAAGCUCACACAGCAGAGAGUGGUCAGGCUGGGAUUCCGGCCUGGCUCCGUCUGACCCUAAAGCCCUGCCCCGAGUAAGAUAAGAAGGAUAAAUACCUAAAGAUCAACAGUGGAAAUGUUGCUCAAGGCUGGAAAUGCAGGAGAUCUUUAUUGUCUGUUGGUUUAUACUGCGUGUGUUUCCUGCCUGGAAUAAGAAAAAAAAUAAGUUGAAUAUUUAAAAAUUCUCCUGAAAUCUAACCAGUUCAGGAGGAGGAAGAACGCUUUUUGGUUAGGGUCCCCGUGGGAGGCAGACUCUGCCAUUACAAAGUCUGUUAUAAAGACAAGGGAAGUUGGAAAAGAUUUCAGUGACAUUGGGAAGAUGUUACUAUCUCUAGGAGCUGUGGCCGUGGGGCAGGUGAGUGACCAGCUUUCAGGACAGGGUGUGAAGGUGACUCAUCCCCUCCCAGUUGGCUGACCCCCCCAGCUGCAAGCCAAGGGACCAGGGGGCCCCGUAUCUGCCCUAGGAUCCAAGUGAGGAAGGGUGAAAAGCGAAUUUAGAGGGCCUAUCUAAUGGGAACUAUCUUGUCCUUCCCUCCUCAAGUUCAAAACCAGCCCGUUCUUCCACCAAUGGGAGCGCCCCUUGGAGAAAUCUUUGUUUUCUCGCACAAGAUGAUGCACACAAAAUGUUGGCAACAAUCUAAGGUUUAUCAACAGCAGGAAAUGGGUUAAAAGAAUUAUGGCUCAGACCAUGGAAAGCGAGACUAAAAUAAAACAGGUGGAAAAAGUACCAAAAUCUGUCGUGAUCAUAACGGGUUGAAUUGUGACCCCCACGAAGAUAUGUCUGAGUCCUUGCGCCUGGUACCCAGGAAGGUGGCUUGAUUUGGAAGCUGGGUCUUUUUUUUUUUUUUUUUUUGAGACAGAGUCUCGCUUGCCCAGUUGCCCAGGCUAGAGUGAGUGCCGUGGCAUCAGCCUAGCUCACAGCAACCUCAAUCUCCUGGGCUCAAGCAAUCCUCUGCUCAGCCUCCCGAGUAGCUGGGACUACAGGCAUGCG
ensembl:lincRNA